UUCAGGACUUCUGUGAGUCUGAGCUGGACCAACAGAUGGAUACUAACUUUUCAUGAAAGACAGGAGAACGGGGAUUUAACCCUGCUGGACAGAAUACAGUGCCCUCAAGACCGGCCUGAUCUACAGGAAUUUCUCAACAUCGAUUUCAUGGGCCGUCUUCACGCCGCAUCAAACAAUUUGGAAGCUUGCGAGCAGAAAUAUGAACAACUCCUAGAGAAGCUGGAGACAUCCAAGAGAGGCUUUAUUACCGAGCUGUAUAAAGCACACAAAGCUCUUAGCCACACUGCAGAAGAAAUGUUCAGUGACCAUUAAGUGGAAUCUCAACAGUGAACCUUCACCGCCAUCUGCUGGAGGUUUAGGAAGUCCAACACAGAUCGUUCGAUGUGAAGAAAUGGCUUCUGAUUGGCCGCUUAAGUCAGAGAAGUUCCGUAAACAUCCCUUUCCAAGUAUAAAAAAAACAGACAAAAUAAAUAUCAUUCAGUCCUGUGACCCGAUCUAUACUCUGAUGACUCUGCAGUGGUAGGGUGUAUAAGGGAUGGACGGGGGGAGGAGUACAGGGCAGUAGUGGAGGACUUUGUGGUGUGGGCGAGCAGAAAUCACCUGCUCCUGAACGUGGCCAAGACCAGAGAGAUGGUGGUCGACUUCGGGAGGAAGACGACGGCUCCGCUACCGCUGAGGUCUGCUGGGGGAGCAGCAUUUGAGCCGGUGACACCAACAGACUUAACAAACUUGUUAAGAAGUUUCGGCUCCAUCAUUGGCUGCAAACAGGACAGCUUGGAAAAGGUGUUGGAGGGGAGGUCACUGAAGAAACUGUUAUCCAUAUUGGAUAAUCCUGACCACCCCCUUCACCACCUGCUACAGGGACAGCGGAGCACGUUCUCCAACAGACUCCUUCAGCUCCGCUGUCACAAGGACUGAUACAGGAGGUCAUUCCUGCCCAGUGCAAUAACACUUUACAAUAAAUCAUCCCUGGCUAAAUAAUGACAAUAAUAACCCUGUACUGCUGUGAUGUUGCUGCUCUUUCUUUUGGAAGGUUAUUCUUUUGUUUCAGUUUAUUUAAUUUAAUUUAAUAAUUUAAUAUUUCUCUUGUUGUAUUGUAUAUAAUGUGUAUCUUUUUGUUCUAUUUUCUUCCCUGUACAUGCUGCUGUGAUACCAAAAUUUUCCUCUUGAGGGAUCAAAAAAGUAUCUAUUUAUCUAUCUAUCUAUACAUGGUAUUGAACACCCGAGCAAUUAGAACACAAUUUUUAACUCAUAUAUCACUGCUCCACAUAUGACUAACACUUGACGCUAUGGUUUAUUUACCUCCAAAAAAGGAAGUAACCAAUCAGUAAUUUGGUUAUCAUUUACUUUGAAACUUUUAAAAUGACAAAGAAAUGAAAUUCAGUCUCAGUCUUAAAUUCACUUCUUUUUUCUCCCAUUAAUAACUAAGAAUUUCUUUCAAGAAAAAUUCAACUGACUACAACUAAAUUCAGGUCAACUUUAAUUCAAUUUCACUCCAAACUCGAAUGCGUUCAAACCAGCCUCCACUUCGGAAAACACAGUCAAGCGAGCCUGCACGUUAUUUCACGGUACGCGUGUACUAGAGAUCCCGGCAGUGAACGUGUCAAACUCAUUCAAGAAGUCUGUAAAUCAUAUUUAAAUCUGAUAAUACAUUAAAAAACAGGGAAAUGGAGGGAAAACAGUCUAUAAAUGAUAAUUGUAGCACCUAAAUUGUACUUAUAACGCCACUCAUCUAUAGCAAAUUGUAAAUUGCCUUAUUUGAGGAAAUUGCACUUUCUUGUUUCUUGCUCUUCUGAGUUUGUACCCUAUGGUUGAAUGCACUUAUUGUAAGUCGCUUUGGAUAAAAGCGUCAGCUAAAUGACAUGUAAUGUAAUGUAAUAAUGUAAUUUGAAUUAUUUAUUCAAAUACAUUUAUAAAGAGUUAAUUUACACAGACAGAAAAUAUCAGGAAAUUCUUAUUCUUAUGUAGCAUUCAAGACUUAAGGCCCUUCAAAAUGUCAUACAUGAGCC
ensembl:lncRNA